UCUAGAGGCUUCGCCAAUGGGGGCAACCCUGAACGAGCGACGCCGCGUGCGGGAUUGAAGGCCUUCGGGUUGUAAACCGCUGUCAGGAGGGAAGAAUGCCCGGGUGGUGAACCCGGGAGCGACGGUACCUCUGGAGGAAGCCCCGGCUAACUCCGUGCCAGCAGCCGCGGUAAUACGGAGGGGGCAAGCGUUGUUCGGAUUUACUGGGCGUAAAGGGUGUGUAGGCGGCCGCGCAAGUCUGGUGUGAAAUCUUCGCCGCUUAACGGGAAGAGGUCACUGGAAACUGCGUGGCUCGAGUAUGGUAGAGGCGAGCGGAAUUCCUGGUGUAGCGGUGGAAUGUGUAGAUAUCAGGAAGAACAUCUGUGGCGAAGGCGGCUCGCUGGGCCAUUACUGACGCUGAGA
rnacentral:rRNA from 1 species